UUACUGUCACUGCCUUCACUGUCACUGUCACUGUCGCUGCUACCUCCAUUGUGGUUGCCAUUACCAGACUUGCUCUGGCUGUCACUGCUGUCGCUGCUGUCACUGUCGGAUUUAGUGUUGCUAUCAUUGCUGUCACUGCUGUCACUGUCACUGCCUUCACUGUCACUGUCACUGUCGCUGCUACCUCCAUUGUGGUUGCCAUUACCAGACUUGCUCUGGCUGUCACUGCUGUCGCUGCUGUCACUGUCGGAUUUAGUGUUGCUAUCAUUGCUGUCACUGCUGUCACUGCUGUCACUGUCACUGCUGUCACUGUCACUGCUGUCACUAUCGCUGCUGUCACUACUGUCACUGUCGCUGCUGUCACUGCUGUCACUGUCUGACUUACUGUCACUAUCACUGCUAUUGCUGCUGUCACUAUCGCUGCUGUCACUGCUGUCACUGCUGUCACUACUGUCACUGCUGUCACUACUGUCACUGUCACUGCUGUCGCUGCUGUCAUUGUCAGAUUUAGUGUCGCUAUCACUGCUGUCACUGCUAUCACUGCUGUUGCUGCUGUCGCUGCUGUCACUAUCUGACUUACUGUCACUAUCACUGCUAUCGCUGCUGUCACUAUCGCUGCUGUCACUAUCACUGCUGUCACUGCUGUCACUACUGUCACUGUCACUGCUGUCACUGCUGUCGCUGCUGUCACUGUCUGAUUUACUGUCACUAUCACUGCUGUCACUACUGUCUGAUUUGCUAUCACUGCUGUCACUGCUGUCACUGCUGUCUGACUUGCUGUCACUACUGUCGCUACUAUCACUGCUGUUACUACUGUCACUGUCUGAUUUACUGUCACUGUCGCUGCUAUUGCUGCUGUCAGUGCUGUCACUACUAUCACUGCUGUCACUGCUGUCACUAUCACUGCUGUCACUACUGUCUGACUUGCUGUCACUGCUGUCACUACUAUCACUGCUGUCACUGCUGUCACUACUGUCACUGUCUGAUUUACUGUCACUGUCGCUGCUAUUGCUACUGUCACUGCUGUCACUACUGUCACUACUGUCUGAUUUGCUGUCACUGCUAUCACUGCUGUCACUGCUGUCGCUACUAUCACUGCUGUUACUACUGUCACUGCUGUCACUGCUGUCUGAUUUGCUAUCACUACUGUCGCUGCUGUCACUGUCUGAUUUACUGUCACUGUCACUGCUGUCACUACUAUCACUGCUGUCACUAUCAUUGCUGUCACUAUCACUGCUGUCACUACUAUCACUACUGUCUGAUUUGCUGUCACUGCUGUCACUACUAUCACUGCUGUCACUGCUGUCACUAUCGCUGCUGUCACUGCUGUCACUACUGUCUGAUUUGCUAUCACUGCUGUCACUGCUGUCACUGUCUGAUUUACUAUCACUGUCACUGCUAUCACUACUGUCUGAUUUGCUAUCACUGCUGUCACUGCUGUCACUGUCACUGCUGUCACUGUCACUGCUGUCACUACUGUCUGAUUUGCUAUCACUGCUGUCACUGCUGUCACUAUCUGAUUUACUGUCACUGUCACUGCUGUCACUGCUGUCACUGUCACUACUAUCACUGCUGUCACUACUGUCUGAUUUGCUAUCACUGCUGUCACUGCUGUCACUGUCACUGCUGUCACUACUGUCUGAUUUGCUAUCACUGCUAUCACUACUGUCACUAUCUGAUUUACUGUCACUGUCACUGCUGUCACUGCUGUCACUACUAUCACUGCUGUCACUGCUGUCACUAUCGCUGCUGUCACUGCUGUCACUACUGUCUGAUUUGCUGUCACUGCUGUCACUGCUGUCACUGUCACUGCUGUCACUACUGUCUGAUUUGCUGUCACUGCUAUCACUACUGUCACUAUCUGAUUUACUGUCACUGUCACUGCUGUCACUACUGUCAUUGUCUGAUUUACUGUCACUGUCACUGCUGUCACUACUGUCACUGUCUGAUUUACUGUCACUUUCACUGCUGUCACUGCUGUCACUGUCACUACUGUCACUGCUGUCACUGCUGUCUGAUUUAUCUUUGCUGUUACCUGAUUUGCCACUGUCAUCACCUCCAUUGUCAUCAUUGCCAUCACUACCAUUAUCAUUAGCAUCUGAUGUGUUAUCACUACCAUCAUCAUCUCCUUUUGAGCCACUGUCAUUGCCAUUGUCAUUUGAUUCAUCAGAGUUAUAAGAAGCAUCUCCUCGGCUACUGUGAUUAUUAUCACCUUCAGAAUUGGCAUCAUCACUGCCAUUAGACUCAUCACUGCUGUUGGGAUCAUCUCCUUGCAUGGAUUCAUCGUCAAACUCAUAGCUGUCAUGCCCAUCACUGUUACUGUCACUAUGUACUUGGCUGGGUCCAAGCU
rnacentral:lncRNA from 1 species